CCACCGUCGGAGCCUCUGGCUGUUUCUGCCGUCACCGGAGAAUCCUGCCGUCGCCAGAGUCUGAUCACCGUUGCCGCCUAGGAUGGCUUCUGGGGCUGCCGCCAAACCGGUUCGAAGACCGCCGCUAUUUCGGUUCAGCCGUUCCUUCGGUUCGAGUCGUUGUGGUUGCUGAGAAAACAGUUUGGAGCUGAGGUGUUGGUAGCUGGGAUUUUGAUUGUUGAUUUCGGGUCGAGGCGAAAAGGACU